GCUCCUAUAGCUCAGCGGUAGAGCGCGACUUUAGUAAGGUCGAGGUCCAUGGUUCAACCCGUGUGGGAGCA
rnacentral:tRNA from 1 species